CCUUCCUCAUCCUCUGUAUAAAAGGAACCAGAAUUCUGACUGGGGAAGCUGAUUCUUUGAGGCAUUAGUCCCCUGACCUCUCAGGCUGAUGGCUCUCUGAUUAAAGCCGUUAUUCUUGCCCCAGGAACUUGCCUUCCGAUGUACUGGUCUUUCGUGUGGUGAGCAGAAGUCCUUAUCAACUCUGUCAGAAGUGACCUGACAUCUCUCCUGUAGAGUGGAAUCUCAGACAAAUGUGUCCUCCAGUCUUCGAAGAUGGCUCCCGAAAGCUGAAAACUCCCUCCACUAUGGCAGCUAAAAUCCAAAACAAGCACUCUGAAAAGGCCCAAAUUCACACUUGGAAGUUUGGAAAUUAAAAAAUCAUAAACCAAGCCACAGCCUGCUUAGAUCACCUGAGAAUGGGCUCCUCUUCUUCUCCGGACUUUGUGAUUUCCACUCAGCCCUCCACUUCUAACCUCAGUGGGCUUCCUGGAGUCCUGCCAGGAGAGCCAGCUUCCACUUGAAUCCUGGGACUAAUCUUCACCCCCAAUGAGGGACAUACAAGAAUCACUCAAGUGUGGCAAUAAUUCACUAGUUCAACCUCAAGCGGCUGAGUUGUGUCCAAGUCUUUGAGACUCCACGGACUACAGUUCUGCCAGGCUCCUCUGUCCACGGGAUUUCCCAGACAAGAAAACUGGAGUGAGUUGCCGUUCCCUUCUCCAGUGGAUCUUCACGACCCAGGGACUGAACCCCAUCUCCUGCAUUGGCAGAUGGAUUCUUUAUCACUGAGCCACCAGUAGAAAGCUUAUGCUUUCAUAAGGAAAGAAGGCAAAUUGAGGCGCUAUUACUUCAUUUUGGCCAGGAACUGCUUGGGACCAGCAGCAAGUCCUUAGACCUUCACUAAACUAUGCCAAGCAGACUUCACAUCAGCACCAAUAGACUCUCAAAGCCAAUAGAACACUAUCUCCAAGAAAUAUUUUGCCAAGAAAACAAAGUUGCUUUCAAUCUGAAAUUUUGUACAAGAGUGGAG
ensembl:lncRNA